CCUACGGGAGGCAGCAGUGGGGAAUAUUGCACAAUGGGGGAAACCCUGAUGCAGCGACGCCGCGUGAGUGAAGAAGGAUUUCGGUAUGUAAAGCUCUAUCAGCAGGGAAGAAAAUGACGGUCUCUGACUAAGAAGCCCCGGCUAACUACGUGCCAGCAGCCGCGGUAAUACGUAGGGGGCAAGCGUUAUCCGGAUUUACUGGGUGUAAAGGGCGCGUAGGCGGCGGUGCAAGUCCGGAGUGAAAGCCCAUGGCUGAACCAUGGUACUGCUCUUGAAACUGUGGAGCUUGAGUGCGGGAGGGGCAGGCGGAAUUCCUAGUGGAGCGGUGAAAUGCGUAGAUAUUAGGAGGAACACCGGUGGCGAAGGCGACCUGCUGGACUGUAACUGACGUUGAGGCUCGAAAGCGUGGGGAGCAAACAGGAUUAGAUACCCGGGUAGUC
rnacentral:rRNA from 1 species